AUUGAACGCUGGCGGCAUGCUUUACACAUGCAAGUCGAACGGUAACAGGCCGCAAGGUGCUGACGAGUGGCGAACGGGUGAGUAAUGCAUCGGAACGUGCCCAGUCGUGGGGGAUAACUGCUCGAAAGAGCAGCUAAUACCGCAUACGAUCUAUGGAUGAAAGCGGGGGACCGUAAGGCCUCGCGCGAUUGGAGCGGCCGAUGUCAGAUUAGGUAGUUGGUGGGGUAAAGGCUCACCAAGCCAACGAUCUGUAGCUGGUCUGAGAGGACGACCAGCCAAACUGGGACUGAGACACGGCCCAGACUCCUACGGGAGGCAGCAGUGGGGAAUUUUGGACAAGGGGGGCAACCCUGAUCCAGCAAUGCCGCGUGCAGGAAGAAGGCCUUCGGGUUGUAAACUGCUUUUGUACGGAACGAAACGGUCUGGGUUAAUACCCUGGGCUAAUGACGGUACCGUAAGAAUAAGCACCGGCUAACUACGUGCCAGCCGCCGCCGUAACAC
rnacentral:rRNA from 1 species